GUAGGUGGCAAGCGUUGUCCGGAAUUAUUGGGCGUAAAGCGCGCGCAGGCGGUUCUUUAAGUCUGAUGUGAAAGCCCACGGCUCAACCGUGGAGGGUCAUUGGAAACUGGAGAACUUGAGUACAGAAGAGGAAAGCGGAAUUCCACGUGUAGCGGUGAAAUGCGUAGAGAUGUGGAGGAACACCAGUGGCGAAGGCGGCUUUUCUGGUCUGUAACUGACGCUGAGGCGCGAAAGCGUGGGGAGCAAACAGGGAUUAGAUACCCUGGUAGUCCACGCCGUAAACGAUGAGUGCUAAGUGUUAGGGGGGGUUUCCGCCCCCCUUAGUGCUGCAGCUAACGCAUUAAGCACUCCGCCUGGGGAUACGGCCGCAAGGCUG
rnacentral:rRNA from 1 species